UGUAGCGACUGCGGAGGGACAUUACACAAAAAAUAUGAAGGCUGCAACCGCCAGUUUUGGCGGGGAAGCUGAAUUAUUUUUCACCCAUGUCUUUUGCGCACUUGUUGUUUCCUGGGCGGGUUCGCCCGCCACCAGGACCACACCAUAAACCUUUUUUAUGCAGUUGCAAUCAGCGUCAGUAUAACAAAUGUAAAUCAUUUACAACUUUCAACAACGGAUCUCUUGGUUCUGGCAUCGAUGAAGAACGCAGCGAAAUGCGAUACGUAGUGUGAAUUGCAGAAUUCAGUGAAUCAUCGAAUCUUUGAACGCACAUUGCGCCCUUUGGUAUUCCAAAGGGCAUGCCUGUUCGAGCGUCAUUUGUACCCUCAAGCUUUGCUUGGUGUUGGGCGUUUUGUCUUUGGCUUUUGCCCAAAGACUCGCCUUAAAACGAUUGGCAGCCGGCCUACUGGUUUCGGAGCGCAGCACAUUUUUGCGCUUGCAACUAGCUAAAGAGGCCAGCAAUCCAUCAAGACCUUCUUCUCACUUUUGACCUCGGAUCAGGUAGGGAUACCCGCUGAACUUAAGCAUAUAAA
rnacentral:rRNA from 1 species